AGCAGCCGCGGUAAUUCCAGCUCCAAUAGCGUAUAUUAAAGUUGUUGCAGUUAAAAAGCUCGUAGUUGAAUUUCGGGAUUGACACAUCGGUCGUGCCUUAAGGGGUAUGAACUGGUGUAGUCAAUUUCUCACCUUCUGGAGAACCGCGAUGCCCUUAAUUGGGUGUCGCGGGGAACCAGGACCUUUACUUUGAAAAAUUAGAGUGUUUAAAGCAGGCAUUUUGCUUGAAUACAUUAGCAUGGAAUAAUAAAAUAGGACGGAUGAUUCUAUUUUGUUGGUUUCUAGGACCACCGUAAUGAUUAAUAGGGAUAGUUGGGGGCAUUAGUAUUCAAUUGUCAGAGGUGAAAUUCUUGGAUUUAUUGAAGACUAACUACUGCGAAAGCAUUUGCCAAGGAUGUUUUCAUUAAUCAAGAACGAAAGUUAGGGGAUCGAAGACGAUCAGAUACCGUCGUAGUCUUAACCAUAAACUAUGCCGACUAGGAAUCAGACGAUGUAAUUUUUUAAUGACUCGUUUGGCACC
rnacentral:rRNA from 1 species